AUCCAGUUGACGAGUCCCAAAUAGGACGAAAUGUUGGUUGCCUUGGAU
rnacentral:hammerhead_ribozyme from 1 species